GCUGAAAUGAGUUAAGGAUGUAAGGUGCUGAGGAUUCUGGGAAUCCUAGCCCCACAACAUAAAUACCGAUACCUUACCUCUAGUGUGGCGUGACUUGGAGGCAGGACAUUUAAUAAAGGUUAAACAAGGUCAUCUGGAUGUGGUCCUAUCCAGAAUUCGAGGCACCAGGAAAAGUAUAUACAGGAGGGAUGGACCUGUAGGUGCACAGCACAUCGGGAAGCCAUCCAUCUGCUAAGGGGAGGUGUAGUCACGGCAACACCUGAGCCGGCCUGAUAGAGGACUUCUAGGCUCAUAUAUAUGGCGAAGUAAACUUCUUUUGCCUGAGCUCUAUGGUCUGGGGUAUUUUGUUAGAAAACCCUAGAAAACUAACGCAUACUGCUAACUGAAGAUAGUAAACUAUAAACCAAUGAUUUCAUGAACAAGUAAGGGCUUUCCCCUACUCCAUUUCCAGAAACAUUUACUAGUGAUUUCUGUCAGUUUCAUGCUCCUGGAAAAAGGAAGAAACGAGUCAGGCAAACACCUCUCAGGCUUAGAAGUUGAUGGCCAUACUUGGCCUUCCUAUGUCUAUGAAAGUGAAACUUCCAGCUGAAGCCAUGCCCACAAUGCCCGUUCUUAGGGCUUCUUGCCUGAGUAAGUCUGCUGAUGUCUGAUGAGGGCAGAGUUAAAGCCAACGCCGUGCCCAAACCAAUGGCUUCUCUUUGGAGUGGACUGGGUCCUCUAGUCAGAGAUGAGGUGUCAUCCCAUCCAGUCCCUACCUACAUAGGCUGUUUACAAAAUGCUUCUACUUGGAGUGUGUCCUCUGGUGUCUAGUAAGAAGUGACUUAAAAGCAAAGGCACGCCCACACUGGGGGCACAGGUAAGGCUUCUCCCCUGUAUGGCUCCUCUGGUGCCCUAUAAGGUUGAACUUUUGGCUAAAUGCCUUGCCACACUCAGGGCACACGUAGGGCUUCUCCCCCGUAUGUGUCUUUUGGUGUCUGAUGAAAAGAGACUUAAACUCAAAGGCUCGACCACACUCAGUACACUGGUAAGGCUUCUCCUCUCCGUGGGUCCUCUGGUGUCUAAUGAGAGAGACCUUCUUUCCAAAUGCUCGCCCACACUCAGCACACAGGAAUGGCUUCUCCCCCGUGUGAAUCCUCUGGUGCCUAGCGAGGUUGAACUUCUGCCUGAAGCGCUGGCCACACUGGGGACAGGCAUAGGGCUUUUCCCCCGUGUGUGUCUUCUGGUGCCCAAUGAGGUUGAACUUCUGGCUAAACCCUCUGCCACACUGAGGACACACAUAAGGCUUCUCCCCCGUGUGUAUCUUCUGGUGUCUGGUGAGGAGCGACUUAAACUCAAAGGUGCGUCCACACUCGGGACACUGGUAAGGUUUCUCCCACCCUGCGUGGGUCCUCUGGUGUCUGAUGAGCAUGGACUGCUUUACAAACGCACGCCCACACUCAGGGCACAGAAAAGGUAACUCCCCUGUAUGAAUCCUCUGGUGCCCGAUGAGGUUGAACUUCUGGCUAAACCCCCUACCACACUGGGGGCACACGUAGGGCUUCUCCCCCAUGUGCGUUUUACGGUGUCUGGUGAGGAGCGACUUAAACUCAAAGGCUCGUCCACACUCAGGGCAUAGGAAAGGUUUUACCUCUGUGUGAAUCCUCUGGUGCCUAAUGAGGUUAACCUUCUGGGUGAAACUCCAGCCACACUGGCGACACACAAAAGGCUUCUCCCCGGUAUGUGUCUUCUGAUGUCUCAUGAGCGUACCCUUUUGGCCAAAGCGUUGUCCGCAGUCCGGGCAAACGUGAGGUUUCUCACCAGAGUGUGUGACCUGGUGAGUGAGGAGCCGGGAGAGCAGCCUGAAGCCACGCCCACACACCGAGCAGAUGAAGGGGUUGUCACCCGAGUGUGACCAGCUGUGCUGUAGCAGCGAGGCUUUCCGGCAAAAGCCCCUCCCACACUCGGGACACACGAAGGGCUUUUUAUCCAGGUGAGUCCGCUGGUGGAGGAGGAGGUCUAUCUUCUGGCGGAAGCCACGCCCACACUCGGGACAAACAAGGGGGCUCUCUCCAGAGUGGAUAAUCUUCUUGUGGCUGUUGAGGGAGGAUACAUACAUGAAGCCUCGCCCACACUCCUCACACACGUGCGGCUUCUCUCCAGAGUGUUUCCUCUGAUGGACCGUGAGAGACGCCUUCUGAGCGAACUGGUGCCCGCACUCCGAACACGAGUAAGGCUUCUCCACUCCGUCCAUUCUCUGGAGCUUCAUGAGGUCAGAACUCUGGCAAAAGCCCCCUCCGCAGUCAGGAAACACGUGGUGCUUCUGAGGGCUGAACAGGUUUGUGACAUCAUCAAGCCCUAGCGGAAAUGCUCCAUGUAGGACGGCCCCAGAUGCUGACUCAUCGGGUCCCUUCAACACUGUGACUGCCUCCUCAGGGGCCAGGCCAAGGUCUGUUUGUUUACUGUCGCCUUCUACCCAGUAUGCUGCCUGAUCUUGACAUGGGCUAAAGAACGUCUUCAGAAUUCUCGUUGGACUUGUCCUCUGCAACAGAGCAUCGCUGCUGUCUCUCUCUUCACCUCCUUCAUUGCUGGAACAGCCUGGAGCUUCUGACUGGAAGUUGCUCCCUGCUGGUCUAUCUUCCACACUCUACUGAAAACGGCCUUCCCACAGCUCUGAAAGGAAAACUAAAACACUGAAAAGCCUUAUGGGUAAUGUAUGCUCUGUAAGCUAUUACAACUAGAACUGCUAAUCGUGGUGUGAACGUCCAUGAAUACUCGCUUUUACUCUAUCAGGAAUUACAAGAUUCUUCAGUGAUUUUCUUUCUUUUAUAAGGAAGUGACUAAGUUUCAAGUCAUCCCCCAAAUGGGAGAGGCAGUACCAAAUAAUGUCAAGAGGUCCAUCUGUGGUAUUCAACUGAAUGCUCCCUCAUCCAGAAAGCAAACCAAGAAAAUAAGCUGGGAUUCUCUUAUCAGAAAAUGGGGAUUCGGCAAUGAAGCAGGAUGUCAUGGACUCCAACUAUAAGCCCUUAAAGAAAUCUGAUUCUUGAGACCGAAUUAAUCCCUGCUCGUUGAAUGGACUUCUUGACAAUUACUAAUGCUGUUCCUCGUGGCUGCCCAAAGCUUUGGUACCCAGAGCUGGACACCAAAGGUCCUACUGUGGUCAGCUUCUCAUCAGGAAAUGUGUUCUAAACUGGCUCGCUAGACUCUGAUUUGCUCUGGUCCGAAGUUCCCUAAGCUCUUUAUGCUGCGUUUCCUCCAGGUCACUUAGCAGACAGACAACUUAAGGGUAGGUCGGCAGCUGAAAAUAUCACCGCGGUCUCCAGCCACUGAGCAUCGGCUGUUUCUUUCUACAGUGUCUUCCAGUUCCGACUAGACUCCAUCAUUCUUCAGACACUGGUUCUGACUGCCUCGGUCAGCUCACUGCUUUCUUGAUGGGAAGACCUGGAUUUC
rnacentral:lncRNA from 1 species